GGCUUGGGGAUAAUGGGCAGGGAAGUGACUGGAGGGGCGCUGGCCACAUGCCUUUUCUCUGCCCUGCAUGGUUCCUGCCCUGUUGAGUGGUUCUUGAAGUGAGUUUGCUGGCCCCUGGGGACCCCCAAGUCUCUUGCAGCAGACCCCUCAAGAUUCCAGUUUCACUGAAGGACGUCCUUGAUGAAGCAGCAAGGAUUAUUAUCUUAUUAAAUCUCCCCCUGAGUACUGUCUUUUGACUAUUCUGUGUGAGGAAAUGGGAAGUAUACAGAAAGCACUUUAAUCACCUUCCAAAGUGCAAUGGCUGGGUCAAGAAGAAGUAUUGGUAUUUUUGAGUUACAAGCUAAAUUAGCCAUCUUUUUCAUGGAACAUCAUUUUUACUUGAAAGAAAGCCUGACAAUCACAGUAUUCAUGUUUGGAUAUUUGGCAAACAUUUUCUCAAAAAUAAACAAAAUGAGCCUGCCACUUCAAAGAAAACAAUUGUAUGACAGAGUUUUGGAAAACGUGUAUCUGCCAUUGUGAACUUGACAGCUUCCUGAUGCUUAAAGACUGCUCUGGUGAAAUUGCUGGUGAUAUUAGCCAUGUGAAUUUUUGUGUGCUGAUAACGAAUGUGUCAAC